rnacentral:rRNA from 1 species
CGUAGGGAGCUAGCGUUGUCCGGAAUCAUUGGGCGUAAAGCGCGCGUAGGCGGCCCGGUAAGUCCGCUGUGAAAGUCAAAGGCUCAACCUUUGAAUGUCAGCGGAUACUGCCGGGCUAGAGUCCGGAAGAGGCGAGUGGAACUCCUGGUGUAGCGGUGGAAUGCGCAGAUAUCAGGAAGAACACCAACGGCGAAGGCAGCUCGCUGGGACGGAACUGACGCUAAGGCGCGAAAGCGUGGGGAGCGAACAGG